rnacentral:rRNA from 1 species
GAUGAACGCUAGCGGCAGGCUUAAUACAUGCAAGUCGAGGGGCAGCAUGAAUGUAGCAAUACAUUUGAUGGCGACCGGCAAACGGGUGCGGAACACGUACACAACCUUCCUAUAAGUGGGGAAUAGCCCAGAGAAAUUUGGAUUAAUACCCCGUAACAUAAUGAUGUGGCAUCACAUUAUUAUUAUAGCUUCGGCGCUUAUUGAUGGGUGUGCGGCUGAUUAGAUAGUUGGCGGGGUAACGGCCCACCAAGUCUACGAUCAGUAGCUGAUGUGAGGGCAUGAUCAGCCACACGGGCACUGAGACACGGGCCCGACUCCUACGGGAGGCAGCAGUAAGGAAUAUUGGUCAAUGGACGCAAGUCUGAACCAGCCAUGCCGCGUGAAGGAUUAAGGUCCUCUGGAUUGUAAACUUCUUUUAUCUGGGACGAAAAAAGGCUAUUCUUAGUCACUUGACGGUACCAGAUGAAUAAGCACCGGCUAACUCCGUGCCAGCAGCCGCAGUAACAC